CACAUACACAAGCAAUGCAACCGUUACACACAAUGCAUCCCUUACACACACAGAAACACACAAUGCACCCCUUACACACAUUCAAUGCAUCCCAUACAUACACAGAAACACACCUUGCAGUCCUUACACAUACAAACACACUUUCACACAAUGCAUUCCUUACACACAUAUCAGGACAUCCCCUACACACUCCACCCCCUGUGAACAAACUCAUUGGUGGAACAUGAAGGUGGACCCUGGGACCCAGACCUUGAGCUGUGUAAAGGGACCCCAAAAAAUGGAGCUGCUUCCCGUUCUCCCAGAACAUUGAUUUUUGUGACCACAGUUACAAACCGCCUCCAGAG